rnacentral:rRNA from 1 species
UACGUAGGCAGCAAGCGUUGUUCGGAGUUACUGGGCGUAAAGGGUGUGUAGGCGGCCUUCUAAGUUCGGUGUGAAAUCUCCCGGCUCAACCGGGAGGGUGCGCCGGAAACUGGCAGGCUAGAGUGUGGGAUGGGAAAGUGGAAUUUCUGGUGUAGCGGUGAAAUGCGUAGAUAUCAGAAGGAACAUCAGUGGCGAAAGCGACUUCCUGGACCAGAACUGACGAUCAGGCACGAAAGCGUGGGGAGCAAACAGG